rnacentral:ncRNA from 1 species
AAAAAACUACCACCGGGUAGUGAUGAUGCGAAAGCAUCCGUAUACACAUCGUUAGGUCUUUGAAGAUGUGUACACGGGUGCUUUGUUUUU